rnacentral:rRNA from 1 species
GACGAACGCUGGCGGCGUGCUUAACACAUGCAAGUCGAACGGAAAGGCCCUGCUUUUGUGGGGUGCUCGAGUGGCUAACGGGUGAGUAACACGUGAGUAACCUGCCCUUGACUUUGGGAUAACUUCAGGAAACUGGGGCUAAUACCGGAUAGGAGCUCCUGCUGCAUGGUGGGGUUUGGAAAGUUUCGGCGGUUGGGGAUGGACUCGCGGCUUAUCAGCUUGUUGGUGGGGUAGUGGCUUACCAAGGCUUUGACGGGUAGCCGGCCUGAGAGGGUGACCGGCCACAUUGGGACUGAGAUACGGCCCAGACUCAUACGGGAGGCAGCAGUGGGGAAUAUUGCACAAUGGGCGGAAGCCUGAUGCAGCAACGCCGCGUGCGGGAUGACGGCCUUCGGGUUGUAAACCGCUUUCGCCUGUGACGAAGCGUGAGUGACGGUAAUGGGUAAAGAAGCACCGGCUAACUACGUG